GGAUAUUUUCCUGACCCCUUCAUGAGACUUGUGACAGGGGUUCCUUGUUUACUCAGCCCUGCAGCUCUCAACGCCUUGCAGGAGGUAGCAUAGAAGCGAACAAGGCGGGAACUGGAGUGCCCAAGUGUUGGAACAAGCUGGCUGCUUCGGUGCUGGCAGGGGCAAACUCCAAUCACUGGGACCCGCUACAUUCCACCCCUCACGGAAGGGAGCACGCAGAACAAUUUAGAAAUUGAUCUGCAACUGAUGGAAGCUGGGAUGAAUUGGGCGCAUAAGUGAACCCAAAGCAUCAGAGCAAAGUCAAAGCGAACAUCUGGCUCCAGCUUUGAGUACAAGAAAGGAAGGAAGAAAGAACAUGCUGGAAGCAGAGCAAAGAAGAGAGACUUGUGUUUCCAUGGAAUAAUCUUGGGAUCCAUGUGGAGUGCAAGAGAUUGGAACAGAAGGAGUUCUCAAAAAAUAAAAACUUCGGGCGGGUGCGGUGGCUCACGCCUGUAAUCCCAGGACUUUGGGAGGCCGAGGUGGGCGGAUCACGAGGU
rnacentral:lncRNA from 1 species